UGGGGAAUUUUGGACAAUGGGCGAAAGCCUGAUCCAGCAAUGCCGCGUGUGUGAAGAAGGCCUUCGGGUUGUAAAGCACUUUUGUCCGGAAAGAAAUCCUUGGCUCUAAUACAGUCGGGGGAUGACGGUACCGGAAGAAUAAGCACCGGCUAACUACGUGCCAGCAGCCGCGGUAAUACGUAGGGUGCAAGCGUUAAUCGGAAUUACUGGGCGUAAAGCGUGCGCAGGCGGUUUGCUAAGACCGAUGUGAAAUCCCCGGGCUCAACCUGGGAACUGCAUUGGUGACUGGCAGGCUAGAGUAUGGCAGAGGGGGGUAGAAUUCCACGUGUAGCAGUGAAAUGCGUAGAGAUGUGGAGGAAUACCGAUGGCGAAGGCAGCCCCCUGGGCCAAUACUGACGCUCAUGCACGAAAGCGUGGGGAGCAAACAGGAUUAGAUACCCUGGUAGUCCACGCCCUAAACGAUGUCAACUAGUUGUUGGGGAUUCAUUCCUUAGUAACGUAGCUAACGCGUGAAGUUGACCGCCUGGGGAGUACGGUCGCAAGAUU
rnacentral:rRNA from 1 species